rnacentral:misc_RNA from 1 species
CCGAGUUUUACAACUCCCAAAACCCCUGUGAACAUACCUAUACGUUUGCCUCGGCGGAUCAGCCCCACGCCCCGUAAAAAAGGGACGGCCCGCCCCGAGGACCCCUAAACUCUGUUUUUUAGUGGAAACUUCUGAGUAAAACAAAACAGAUAAAUCA